rnacentral:tRNA from 1 species
GUUCCCGUGGUGCAGUGGUUAGCAUAUCGCUCUUAUAUUGUUCACCCUUUUCUGGGUAGCAGCCAUGCGGAGAUCGCGAGUUCAAUCCUCGCCGGGAACA